UCCGGUUGAUCCUGCCNGAGGCCNUUGCUAUCGGAGUCCGAUUUAGCCAUGCUAGUCGCACGGGUUUAGACCCGUGGCGGAUAGCUCAGUAACACGUGGCCAAACUACCCUACAGACCGGCAUAACCUCGGGAAACUGAGGCCAAUUCCGGAUACGGCUCUCAGCCUGGAGUGGCGAGAGUCAGAAAUACUACGGUGCCGUAGGAUGUGGCUGCGGCCGAUUAGGUAGACGGUGGGGUAACGGCCCACCGUGCCAAUAAUCGGUACGGGUCGUGAGAGCGAGUGCCCGGAGACGGUAUCUGAGACAAGAUACCGGGCCCUACGGGGCGCAGCAGGCGCGAAACCUUUACACUGCACGACAGUGCGAUAGGGGGACUCCGAGUGCGAGGGCAUAGCGCCCUCGCUUUUGCGCACCGUAAGGUGGUGCGUGAAUAAGAACUGGGCAAGACCGGUGCCAGCCGCCGCGGUAAUACCGGCAGUUCGAGUGAUGGCCGAUCUUAUUGGGCCUAAAGCGUUCGUAGCUGGCCACGCAAGUCCGUCGGGAAAUCUACCCGCCUAACGGGUAGGCGUCCGGCGGAAACUGCGUGGCUUGGGACCGGGAGACCCGAGGAGUACGUCCAGGGUAGGAGUGAAAUCCCGUAAUCUUGGACGGACUACCGAUGGCGAAAGCACCUCGGGAGCACGGAUCCGACAGUGAGGAACGAAAGCUGGGGUCUCGAACCGGAUUAAAUACCCGGGUAGUCCCAGCUGUAAACGAUGUCCGCUAGGUAUGGCACAGGCUACNANCCUGUGCUAUGCUGUANUGAAAACNCAAGCNGACCGCCUGGGA
rnacentral:rRNA from 1 species